rnacentral:rRNA from 1 species
UACGUAGGGUGCAAGCGUUGUCCGGAAUUAUUGGGCGUAAAGAGCUCGUAGGCGGUCUGUCGCGUCGGCUGUGAAAUCUCGGGGCUCAACCCCGAGCCUGCAGUCGAUACGGGCAGGCUAGAGUUCGGUAGGGGAGACUGGAAUUCCUGGUGUAGCGGUGAAAUGCGCAGAUAUCAGGAGGAACACCGAUGGCGAAGGCAGGUCUCUGGGCCGAUACUGACGCUGAGGAGCGAAAGCGUGGGGAGCGAACAGG